GGUAAAUUUACCUCUUCUCUUCCCUACCGAACUAAUCGGGAGAAAACCAACUCUACAGAUCGUGGGAGGGUUCUGCUAUUUCCCGCACCAUCUCAGCCAGUGCUACACGCAGCCAUGGCGAUUCCCCUUCUCUGUAGGCCAACAGAGCAGGCCGCUCCAUCCAAGCGGUCGCGAGCUAGCCGCGGUGGCUCUGGGGAAGAGGUCGUCCCACCGGCGGGAUGCAGUUGAAUUGAAGCGACGGCGCCAAGUUGGAUUGUGAUUUCUGCGGCGGAGCGGCGCUGGGCCACGGCGACGCGCUCCACGAGCUCGAGAAGUGUCUUAUAUCUCCUCUCCCAUCCUCGUAUCCUUGAUUGAUCCUCGCCUCCCUGAUUGAUGUAUGCCCAUUGAUCUGGGUCGUUUUUUCAUUGACUAGGUAUGAAUAUGAUUGACCUCGUUUGCAAGUUUGGUCCCUGGCUCACUGCACGCGCCCAUGAGCUCAAGCCCCGCCCCUUACCUCCCUCUAACUUGGCCGCCUCCACCCCCUGGUAAAACCCCUUCCUGUUUUUGAUAGACUGAAGCUUGUUUGUGUCGGCAGAAUUUGUGUGUUUUGAGUUUGGCAUCUAAAUGAGGGUGGUAAGUUGUGAUGGGGAAAUUACUUGUCAAGGAAUCACUUGUGCUUGUUGUAGUGAGAGCAGAACGAAAUGACCAUGUUUUAUGAAAUUAUACUUCUUAUGCUAAGGUUGUAGUAUUAGACCAAGUCUAUUCUUUUUUAAAUUAGUGACAAAUUAGUAGCUCAUUUUGUUGUGGAAGCACAAUUUAACAUUCAGUCAGUAUUUUUUUAUUGUUGUUUAGAAAUUUUGACAUCAUGUCUGAAGACUAAAUUGAUAUCGGUUCAUACGAAUGACCAUGUCGCUGCUAAUCUCAGGCCAUCCAGGCAAGACAUAGCUUCUAGUUUUUCGGCAUCAGUGAACGCUUGAAGCACUCUGCCUGCAGAAAGCAGAACCUUUCCGGUUAUCUUGUAAAACCAUCCCCACACUCGCAGCUCCGGUUUCCCUGAUGAUAGAGCCAUCCACAUUGAUUUUGACCCAGUUCAUUCCGGCGGCUUCCAGCCAGAUCAAUUAUGUACUCAUCCACCCGCCACUUUCCUUCUUCAGUAAUUAACUGGUAUAUUCUUACAUGUGUUAUUGCAGUGGGCAAGUGCAGAAAAUUUAUGGUCUAUUUGGCGUGACGAAGUUGAGGGGAAUGUGUUGCAAACCAUGAUGUUUUCUUAAAAUCCAAUUGAUUUGGAUACACUUGCGAAAUGCAGAAGUAGUUUCAUCACUGUCUUUUUAUAUUUGGUAUUUUCUGACAUGAACUAUUGCAUCUACUGAGGUGAUUUCGUUGGGAAGCUUGCCAGACUAUACUCUAGACUCUCUACCGCUAUGCAAUGGUUCAUUUAUGGAGUUCUUGAAAGAAAAAAGGUGGUAAUUGAACCAAGCAAUUCAGUAUGAACUAAUAGAGUGUAGGGGGUUCUACAGAUGCAGCAGCAUCAAGGACUGUGCCUUGUGAAGCAUAUGGAGUGGAGUCGCGACAACGCCGUGAUUCUCAUAUAACCUAUGAGAAUGAACACAACCACAACCACGUCCAGCCACCGACCUAUCAAUGCUCGCUGUGAAUUCAGUAAAGCCUAACUGAAGUUACUAAUGCCAGAAGAAUAUAGAAGAACUCUCAAUUAUUAUGCAAUGGAUGGAAAAUGUCAUUCAGCUGGUCUUUGGUUAUUCAGUCUGACAAAAGAUUUGGAUGUGAGUGAAAUUUGUAUCAGGAAGGCAAAGAUUACAUUGCCUGUCAUUUUCAUGAUGUAUAGUGAAUACUUGAUCUGGGCUGCAACACAUUUACCUUAUGAAUAAUUCUGUCGAUAAAAUCGUGCUUGUUAAAUUUCCUUGUAU